rnacentral:rRNA from 1 species
AACGAACGCUGGCGGCAUGCCUAACACAUGCAAGUCGAACGAGACCUUCGGGUCUAGUGGCGCACGGGUGCGUAACGCGUGGGAAUUUGCCCUUCGGUUCGGAAUAACAGUUAGAAAUGACUGCUAAUACCGGAUGAUGACUUCGGUCCAAAGAUUUAUCGCCGAGGGAUGAGCCCGCGUAGGAUUAGCUUGUUGGUGAGGUAAAGGCUCACCAAGGCGACGAUCCUUAGCUGGUCUGAGAGGAUGAUCAGCCACACUGGGACUGAGACACGGCCCAGACUCCUACGGGAGGCAGCAGUGGGGAAUAUUGGACAAUGGGCGAAAGCCUGAUCCAGCAAUGCCGCGUGAGUGAUGAAGGCCCUAGGGUUGUAAAGCUCUUUUACCCGGGAUGAUAAUGACAGUACCGGGAGAAUAAGCCCCGGCUAACUCCGUGCCAGCCGCCGCAGUAAAAC